GGCGAGCACCAAUCAGGGAAAAGUGCGCGCAAUGUUUACAGAAUUCAAGAAAUAUCAUAACAUUGUUCUCCCUGCACCGUCAGGACUCUGUACCUCCAGGUACACUGUACUGCCGGGUACACUGCACUGCCAGGUACACUGCACUGCCAGGUACACUGUACCGCCGGGAACACUGCACCACCGGGUACACUGUACCGAAAGUUAAAGGGAAAUAAACACGAGUAGAUGGUUUCCACUGACGCCUUUAGGUCACAAUGAAGGGGGAACGCCUAGUUUCUCACUUGAGGCUAUUGAAGGUACCAGGGGCUGAACACCUAGAUGGAGAUGAUUACGAGUGGCUCUUCCUCGCUGAUGACACGAUCCCAUUAGCUUUAUUUUUGGAGUGGUUUGCUGAGAAUGUGUCGGCUAAUGAUGUUCUCACAGAAGAAGAUUUAAAUGAGUUUGAAGAACUUAAGUCAAGAGGUGAAGUACUAACAGGCUAUCAUCUAGAAAGAUUAGACUCUUGUUUAUCUGGACUACCAGCUGCAUUUGCUACAUCGGAGGAAGAAGGCGAGAAAGAUGUAUUUACUGAGGAGGAGUGCAAGAGACUAGAGGGCCAGCUAAAAAUUUUGAAAAAUAGAAAAAGUCAGCUAAGUACCCAUAAGAUUGAGUUGUGGGAGGAGCUGUAUAAGAGUAGUGAGCAUUUAAAGGAAAUGGAGGUGCUUUUGAAGAACCAUCAGGAAGGUGUAUUGAACACCAGCUGUCACCUUACAAAAGCACAAGAAGAGCUUGCCAAAAGCCUUGAUUCACUGACAAAUGUAUUUCUGGCAUUUGAUAAAACCCCAGCAGAUGAGGUAAAGUUCUUCUGUCAGCUGGACCUUGAUGAAUGGUACCAAGUGGAGGCCAAGUUCACAGAUAGUCUCAAGACUUACGUCAGAAAACAGUUCAAGGAGGGUGUAAAGGAUGUGGCUGGUGUUGAUGAUAGUUCGGAGUACUGCUUACUAGAUGUGAGUAACAUGGAUCUGCAGCUGGUACGGGGUGCUGGAAAUGCUGAGUAUGCACACAAUGUAGGAGAGCUAAAAAGACUUGAAAAACUGCUAAGACAGACUGAAGAGUGGAAAAUGGAAGGUCUGUUGCUUCAGGAUCGAAGACGUGCAGAGAUAGAAGAGGCCAAUAGACAGUUUGCAGCCAUCCACAGAAGCCAGCUGUCGCCUAAUUUGGCAUUACUUCAGCAACAAGCACGAGAGGCAGGGGAAUCUACCACACUUGUAGAGCGGGAAAGACAGCAACAGCAGCAAGUGAUGCACUCUCUUAUAAAAGAGGUGGUAGAACUGGAAUGUGCAAGGACCAUCUCCGGAAAUUAUAAGCUUAAACGCCAGAGACAAGAAUAUUUUCUCAAUAAGCAAAAAAUUGUUAUGGAUGAGCUGGUAACACAAAUGGCCCGUUACAGCUUGAUCAACCUUAUCUUGGACAUAGAGAGAGAUCAAAUUGCAGAUAUUCUUAUGUUUCUGCAGAGUAUUAGUUCGGUCAUUACUCAAAAGGAUGUUGGCUACCAAAAAAGAAUGAGUCACCUGCAAGGCCUGACUAAAGAACACGGAGAGCACAAGGCAUCAGGUCAGCUUCCCUUGCCCCUGAUGACCCUCUCCCACCUUCUGGCUGGUGUUGCCAAACCUCAGCCCAAGGAAGAGCAGAUUGGUGGGCCAGUGACUGGCAAGUACUUGCAGAAACAGGUAGCCAUGCUUCAGAAAGACCUUGAUGUAGGUAGAGAACAAGUGUCCACUACAAGGAAUCCACAAUUUUCUCGACUCAAUAGAAUGCAAGACAAUGAAGUGUGUAGUGCUAGAGACAAGACUGUUUGGCAGCCCUGGUUGUCUCAGAACAUUGCCAGCAGUUUGGUUGGAGCCGGAACUAGCAGAUCGCUACUUUGAUUUGGAUCAAGAAUUGGAGAAUUUCAAGCAAAAAUUAAUGGUACUAAAACUUGAAUAUGAAGAAAAGAAAAAAGUACUUCAGAUUGAUCCAACCGUCCGGGAAGACUAUACAAAGUGGCUAAGUGCUGUUGUAAAGGUGCUGACAAGAGUGUAGUUCAUUCGUCCUAUAGUACACUUCAUUACACGUAACCAUUCACACAUGUAUGUAAUUUAACUAAGUAUAAUUACCAAAGUGUAGUUACAGGAUGAGAGCUUCGCUCGUGGUGUCCCGUCU